UACGGAGGGUGCAAGCGUUAUCCGGAAUCACUGGGCGUAAAGGGCGCGUAGGUGGUCUGUUAAGUCUGGCGUUAAAGCCUGCGGCUCAACCCCAGAUCAGCGUUGGAUACUGGCAGGCUAGACGGCUGGAGAGGCGAGUGGAAUUACCAGUGUAGCGGUGGAAUGCGUAGAUACUGGUAGGAACACCCAUUGCGAAGGCAGCUCGCUGGACAGCACGUGACGCUGAGGCGCGAAAGUGUGGGGAGCAAACCGGAUUAGA
rnacentral:rRNA from 1 species